GAGAGUACAUAGAUUGGAAGUGCUAUUUAAAUAGAAACGCCGCAGAUGUUAUGCGGUGAGAUAUAGCUGGCGUUUCGGUUGGAGCUGCUAGUUGAGAAGUGGCGGAUAGAGUUGGCCACAUUUGUAACCCGUCAACCAACCCUCUUAACUAAGUUCCACCUAGUUCAGGGAUUUUUGAUAAUUUUAGGGGAUUUCGUACCUGCCUAAUUUGAAAGCUUUUGACAAAAACGUCAACGAGACAGCGAUUGUUGGACUUUACUUUUGAAGACGAAAGCGUGUGAAUCUGUGGUUUGUUUUUAGUGCAAAAAAAUCAAAUUAAAUGGAAAACCCAAUGAAAUCGGAAAACACUAAAUUACCGAAAGGAAUGCGAACUCCCAAUUAAACAAAUGAGGAGAAAUAUCGGUUAUUAGAAGUAUGCCGAGACUAUAAAGGGAUCAUCGAAAACAAAAAAAAAUGACUCGUGCUCGUGGAGAGAAAAAGACGAUACAUGGAAUAAGAUCGCUGCCGAUUUCAACGCCUCAUCACCAAGGAAAGUCUUCCGCAGUAAAGAAUCAUUGCGGAAGUGCUACGAAAAUUUAAAAAAAAAGUCAGAAUGGUUGUGUCUCAAGAAAAAAAGUCGCUAAUACAGACCGGCGGUGGUGCAGCAUUUACACCUUUCCAGGACCCAUGUUUUUAAGGAGAUUGUAAGUGCUAAAACCAUGGGUGGACUGCCAAAUUUUGAUGGGGACAGCAUUUUGCUUUUUGUGGAGGAAAAUGAGGCUGGGACUAGUUCGUCUUCUUCGAAUGCGAAUAUUGCAACGGAAGGAGGUCCUGUGAAGCAAAUUGACUGGGGCAACCAUUCUGCAGCGGAUUUGAGGAUACAGCUGCCGAAGGUACUUCGAAGCGACAAGCUUUCCGAAGAAAAUGGCAGUUGGUGUAAGAGGAGAAGACCUGGUGCUGUGAGGACACUUCACACCGCAAAAUAUGAACAAGGGGCUGACUUGAAAAUUAAAUUUCUGACGUCAGAAAUGAAAGCGGCAGACCGUAAAAGAGAGCGCAAAGAAGAAGAGCAUGCUCUAAAAGUAAAAUGUUUACAAUUAGACAUUGCUCUCAAAGAAGCCGAGUUAAAAAAAAUAAAUAAAUCAGAAUAAAAAAA